rnacentral:rRNA from 1 species
CCUCUCGAGGCAACUCGGAUUUUAGGGUCGCUGUGCUGUACAAGUCGGCUUUCCUUUCAUUUCCAAGACUAUGUUUUUAUAUACACCAAUGUAUGUUUAAAGAAUGUCAUCAAUAGGAACUUGUUUCCUAUAUAAUUAUACAACUUUCAGCAACGGAUCUCUUGGCUCUCGCAUCGAUGAAGAACGCAGCGAAAUGCGAUAAGUAAUGUGAAUUGCAGAAUUCAGUGAAUCAUCGAAUCUUUGAACGCACCUUGCGCUCCUUGGUAUUCCGAGGAGCAUGCUUGUUUGAGUGUCAUUAAAUUCUCAACCUUCCAGCUUUUUAUAAGCUUGGUUAGGCUUGGAUGUGGGGGUUGUGGGCUUCAUUAAUGAGGUCAGCUCUCCUUAAAUGCAUUAGCGGAACUUUUGUGGACCGUCUAUUGGUGUGAUAAUUAUCUACGCCGUGGAUGUGAAGCAGAUUUAUGAAGUUCAGCUUCUAACCGUCCAUUGACUUGGACAUUUUUGACAAUUUGACCUCAAAUCAGGUAGGACUACCCGCUGAACUUAAGCAUAUCAAUAAGCGGAGGAAAAGAAACUAACAAGGAUUCCCCUAGUAACUGCGAGUGAAGCGGGAAAAGCUCAAAUUUAAAAUUCUGGCAGUCU